AAUUGAAGAGUUUGAUCAUGGCUCAGAUUGAACGCUGGCGGCAGGCCUAACACAUGCAAGUCGAGCGGUAGCACAGAGAGCUUGCUCUCGGGUGACGAGCGGCGGACGGGUGAGUAAUGUCUGGGAAACUGCCUGAUGGAGGGGGAUAACUACUGGAAACGGUAGCUAAUACCGCAUAACGUCGCAAGACCAAAGUGGGGGACCUUCGGGCCUCAUGCCAUCAGAUGUGCCCAGAUGGGAUUAGCUAGUAGGUGGGGUAAUGGCUCACCUAGGCGACGAUCCCUAGCUGGUCUGAGAGGAUGACCAGCCACACUGGAACUGAGACACGGUCCAGACUCCUACGGGAGGCAGCAGUGGGGAAUAUUGCACAAUGGGCGCAAGCCUGAUGCAGCCAUGCCGCGUGUGUGAAGAAGGCCUUCGGGUUGUAAAGCACUUUCAGCGGGGAGGAAGGCGUUAAGGUUAAUAACCUUGGCGAUUGACGUUACCCGCAGAAGAAGCACCGGCUAACUCCGUGCCAGCAGCCGCGGUAAUACGGAGGGUGCAAGCGUUAAUCGGAAUUACUGGGCGUAAAGCGCACGCAGGCGGUCUGUCAAGUCGGAUGUGAAAUCCCCGGGCUCAACCUGGGAACUGCAUUCGAAACUGGCAGGCUAGAGUCUUGUAGAGGGGGGUAGAAUUCCAGGUGUAGCGGUGAAAUGCGUAGAGAUCUGGAGGAAUACCGGUGGCGAAGGCGGCCCCCUGGACAAAGACUGACGCUCAGGUGCGAAAGCGUGGGGAGCAAACAGGAUUAGAUACCCUGGUAGUCCACGCCGUAAACGAUGUCGAUUUGGAGGUUGUGCCCUUGAGGCGUGGCUUCCGGAGCUAACGCGUUAAAUCGACCGCCUGGGGAGUACGGCCGCAAGGUUAAAACUCAAAUGAAUUGACGGGGGCCCGCACAAGCGGUGGAGCAUGUGGUUUAAUUCGAUGCAACGCGAAGAACCUUACCUGGUCUUGACAUCCACAGAACUUUCCAGAGAUGGAUUGGUGCCUUCGGGAACUGUGAGACAGGUGCUGCAUGGCUGUCGUCAGCUCGUGUUGUGAAAUGUUGGGUUAAGUCCCGCAACGAGCGCAACCCUUAUCCUUUGUUGCCAGCGGUCCGGCCGGGAACUCAAAGGAGACUGCCAGUGAUAAACUGGAGGAAGGUGGGGAUGACGUCAAGUCAUCAUGGCCCUUACGACCAGGGCUACACACGUGCUACAAUGGCAUAUACAAAGAGAAGCGACCUCGCGAGAGCAAGCGGACCUCAUAAAGUAUGUCGUAGUCCGGAUUGGAGUCUGCAACUCGACUCCAUGAAGUCGGAAUCGCUAGUAAUCGUAGAUCAGAAUGCUACGGUGAAUACGUUCCCGGGCCUUGUACACACCGCCCGUCACACCAUGGGAGUGGGUUGCAAAAGAAGUAGGUAGCUUAACCUUCGGGAGGGCGCUUACCACUUUGUGAUUCAUGACUGGGGUGAAGUCGUAACAAGGUAACCGUAGGGGAACCUGCGGUUGGAUCACCUCCUUA
rnacentral:rRNA from 1 species